GAUGCAAUGAUUAUGUACAUAUAGAAAUUACCUGGCAGGACACAUCUUCUUUCUUGUCAAGCACAACACUAGCUAUUGAAGUACAAGUUUUAUCAACGAACAGGGGCAAACUGACUGUAUAACCACACCUCUAUACCAUAGUUCACCAUGUGCCUACGGACAUUGGUCUUAGUGAUUGCAAUAUUGCAUACAUCUUCCGCAGCUGCGCUCAAUGAAGUGUGUACCUCUGACGAUGAAUGCGACGUGAGUGGAUCUGCUUGUAAGCCGAGUUCCUGUGACGGUUUUGUCUGUAUGUGCGAUGUUGGCUUUCGUGCCCAUAAAAAUGGCGCACAAUGUAUGAACGUUAGCCUUAUCGGGGGUGAAUGCUCGGUGGACGCGGAAUGUCUGCCA